GGAGAGGAAGGAGGAUCGACAUCCAUUUCUGUUCAAUACCCCAGUCUCUCAUGGAGAAUUUUCGUAGAGAAUGUGCAAACAGACACGUGACCAUAAAGGUGAGAACUACAAAGACAAAUCGAAACCAGAUUUCCACCUGUGAAAAUGUUGGAUUGUAUGUCUUCCACUACAAGCAAACAGAAGAAAAACAGCUCAACAUGCAAUGUUUUUAGAAGGGUCACACAAAUAUCAAUGUUUAACAUCUUUUGCAGAUACUCAACAGUUUUCUGGCUUUUCAAGAUUUGAAGGUAUAACCAAAUUCCUC
rnacentral:lncRNA from 1 species